rnacentral:rRNA from 1 species
CCUACGGGAGGCAGCAGUGGGGAAUAUUGGGCAAUGGGCGCAAGCCUGACCCAGCAACGCCGCGUGAAGGAAGAAGGCCCUCGGGUUGGAAAAUUCUUUUAUUCGGGACGAAACAAAUGACGGUACCGAAUGAAUAAGCCACGGCUAACUACGUGCCAGCAGCCGCGGUAAUACGUCGGUGGCAAGCGUUAUCCGGAUUUACUGGGUGUAAAGGGCGAGUAGGCGGGAUAGCAAGUCAGACGUGAAAUUACAGGGCUCAACCCUGGAACUGGGUUUGAAACUGUUCUUCUUGAGUGAAGGAGAGGCAGGCGGAAUUCCGUGUGUAGCGGUGAAAUGCGUAGAUAUACGGAGGAACACCAGUGGCGAAGGCGGCCUGCUAGACAUUAACUGACGCUGAGGCGCGAAAGCGUGGGGAGCAAACAGGAUUAGAUACCCUUGUAGUC